CCUGAAGCCUGAAUUUGGCAGGCCCCAGCAAGCCCAGAAGGAGGCUGGCAGAGCUCCCUGCAGCAGACCAGACCAUCCAGCACAGCUUUUGCAAGGGUCUGGCUCGGUAGAAGGCUCCGUCCCAUGAUCAUUGCACUCCUGUCCGCUAGAGAGAUGAUGCAGCCACCUACUGACUUGAAGAUUUCCUUUCUAGAGACUCUGGGGAGGGAGUUGAAGCCUGAAGAAUGACAGUUCUUGCAACUCGCAUGAAAAAGACUGAACAAGGCAUCCACUUGAAGAGAGGUGAUGGGGCCCGCUGUCGGGAUUCUUGAUGGACCGAGCAUGAACGAUCUGAUGAAUCGGAGGCUCGCACACUGCGACACGGAGUCCGACGCGGAGUCCUGCCUGCUUCUAAACCAGGAUACUCGCGCCGCAGAAUGCAGCUGAUGAUCUCUCCUAGACAGAAGGAGGUGAAAGUGCCUCGCUUGGAUUUUGCUCUCUUCGCUCUUUGGGAUUCUGCUUUGCCGUCUCCAUACGACAGGCCCCUAUUAAACUGCCCUUGUUGUUUGUCCCGUAUGUGACUUGCUCACUUAAACAGCAUUCUUCCUCAGCAAAGAGAUGCUCCCUUCUGAAAGAAGCUUUCCCGCUCCACAAAGGUCUUUUUUUUUUUUUUUUUUAGUGAGAAAAUCCUUCAGGGAAGCCAUGGGGAGGGGUUUCCUUUUGUAUACCCAGCGGUGCCAGACUCCCCUCCCAUCAGGGGCAUUGCAAGGUACUUAAAAGAUCCAGGCCCUGGGUCCACAGAUCCCCUUUUGAGAAUUAAACUCAAUCAUAUCCAUCCAAAAAUAAUUAGGUUUUUUUUUAAAAAAAGUUCUCUAAUAUAAUGCAGCUCCAAUGCAGGUGGAAGCCACAGACAGCUAGGGGAGGCAAAAGCUCUCUUCCCAUCAUGCUCUGUGCAGGUGCCUCCACAAGAGAUCAUGCAAGAGAAAGACUGCUGAUGAGAUUAAGGGAUCUGAGCAAUUCAUUGGAGGCCCAUGCCACAAUGACCAACCCUAAUUACACCCCUGCUUCCUAUUAUUAAUUUUAAAAAACCCAAACAAUAAAUAGUCACAUUCUGCAACCAGCAAACUCUGAAUCUGUGGUUUACACAUAUGAUGCCAACUGAAGUUAUUUUCAUUUAAUUGA